CCCAGGACUGGUGGCCAGGACCUGGGCAGUGUGUGUGCCACUGAAAAUCAGCUUGCGUGCUGCUUUUGGCACGUGUGUCAUAAGUUGCCUACCCUUGAAAUUGAUUAUGCUGA